ACGUAGGUGGCAAGCGUUGUCCGGAUUUAUUGGGUUUAAAGGGUGCGUAGGCGGUUUUUUAAGUCAGUGGUGAAAUACGGCAGCUUAACUGUCGAGGUGCCAUUGAUACUGGGGAACUUGAGUACUGAUGAGGUAGGCGGAAUGGACGGUGUAGCGGUGAAAUGCUUAGAGAUCGUCCAGAACACCGAUAGCGAAGGCAGCUUACUAAGGAGUAACUGACGCUGAGGCACGAAAGUGUGGGGAUCAAACAGGAUUAGAUACCCUGGUAGUCCACACUGUAAACGAUGAUUACUCGAUGUGUGCGAUACACGGCACGCGGCUUAGCAAAAGCGAUAAGUAAUCCACCUGGGGAGUACGCCGGCAACGGU
rnacentral:rRNA from 1 species